CAGACAGCAAGCCAACAUUGAAUAAACAUUGUUUUUCCAUCUGAAUCAUCAUUAUGGUUGAUAUUGAAAUUUCAAUGCAAAAUAAAUGUUGAAUCAACAUUACCAUAUCGAUGAAAACCUGAUGUUAUUAAUGUUGAUGGCAACAAUAUUGGAACAACAUUGAUCCAUAGUUAUCUUUAUGAUUGAUUAAGCAUUGAUAUUUGGUUACCGGGUGAUCCCUGAAUGUGUUGAAAAGUAAUUGAUUUAUAGUGGACAGAGAAACGAUGCGGUUGUUGAAAAGUCAUCGAAAUAUAGUUGACCGGGAAAUAUGAUAGAAAGUGCAUCGAAAUAUAGUUGACCAGGAAAUAUGAUUGAAAAUCCAUCGAUUUUUGGUUGACCGGGAGAUCAACGGGUGGUAUACCCAACGUACUGCACCGGACACAGCUCAUUUCUGGACCCUUGGCACAAGCGUACAGGUAAGCUUGCUUAAUGUUCGAUAUGAAUCCAGACAGCACAGGCACGCGGUGUGUUUUUAUACAGUCUAUGGGCAGCUGAAGAGACUGGCUCAUUUUCAAAUAAUGUUACCGUUAACUUGUUUAGACAACGGUCACGGUAAAUUAAUGUUAAAGCCUUGAGUUUCCAGCAGUUUCUCGGAGGGAAAAUGUAAAAGCGGUUUAUUAAAGAGAAGUCCUGACUGCUUUUUCGUCGUGUUUUUCACUCUUUUACAGGCUGCCAGAAAGAAUCCGUCUCUAUAGUGAGUGAUUAUUGAAUGAGGCUGUACAUUAUAAAUGUAAUGUUUUAACUCGAGAUGUUUGUUUGUGUGAAUGCUGUGUGUUGCGGUGAGUUCUGCGCGAGCGGGGAGCAGAGUUGCCAUGGAAACGGGGCGUCAACACAAAAACCGUUACUGGCAAGCAGUAAUCUCCGUCUCUCGCUGCGGUUUACGCUGUUUUAGGUAAGUUUAGUCGCUAAAAUCACACAAAUAUGAUAUACAAAUGUUUCUGACAAGUUUCUUACUUGUUAUUGACAUGUUUCAAUUAAAUUUAUUUUAUAGAAAUGGUUUAAUGUCUUCGAAAAAGUCCGUUAGCGUCUUAGCAGUUUUCAGGUAACGUUAGGCUAAUUUUGAGCUCUUGUUGAUGAAACUCUGGGCUUUUCAUCAAAUCUUCGUGUAUGAGAUAUUUUGAUGGCUCUGUGAAUGUUUUGCUGGUGAUUUGUCAGUGUUUUUUUUGGAAAAGGCUGAUUUACUGAAUCGAUGACGUCACUUACACUGAGAGUGUAACGUUAAUCGGCUGAAAACAAGUUCACAUGAGUGUUUAUAUUUCAUGAUAAACAGAUAUUAAUACAAAUUGUUCUGUGAUUUCAGGAGGACAGAAAUAAACUAUACAGAACAAAGUGAAACUCCAAGAUUUUUGAAAAGAAAAUUGGUGAAAUAUAUUCUGAAAAAGGCAUAUUAAUGUAUUUCAUGAGCUUCUUCAGUAAAUCUGUAUUUCUAAGUCAGUAUCUCCCUUCAGAAAUGUUGCUGAAGGGAGAUACUGACUUAGAAAUACAGGUGAACUCAUGAAAAUAAGCUCAUGAAAUACUCAUGAAAGAAGCUCAUGAAAUACAUUAAUAUGCCUUUUUCAGAAUAUAUUUCACCAAUUUUAAGGAGUCCCUGACAUCAAAACGUAAGUCACACUCAACCUAAAAUUAAAAAUAUAGAUUCUGUUAUUUUAAGAUUAUAUUAUUAGUAGUAGAAUUUGUAUAUUACAUAUGUUAUUAUUGUUGUUAUAUAUAUUAUUCUGUCUUUUAUCUGCAUUUUACCUCUGCUUUAUCUUGUUUCCUUCUAAUGAACCUGAAACAGCAGAGUAAAUAUCGUUGUCUCUGUGUCAGCUUGUUUUGUUCCUGGACUCUUCAGUGAUGAUGAGCAGAGUCUGAGUGAACCUGCUGUCAGACAAUCACUAUUGCACACCAAAUGCUCUUACUCAGCAGAUGGGGACAGCUACCAUCACCCAAUUUUCACCCAAAAGUGGCUGCGCUAUGCGCCAGACCGGGCAGGAGGGACUGGACGACAACUUAUGCAGGCAUCAGAUGACAAUGAAGUGUAAAUAAAGAGUAGAGGCUAAUAAACAGGAAUUU